GUCUCAGUUCGGAUCGGAGUCUGCAACCCGACUCCGUGAAGCUGGAUUCGCUAGUAAUCGCGCAUCAGCCAUGGCGCGGUGAAUACGUUCCCGGGCCUUGUACACACCGCCCGUCAAGCCAUGGAAGCCGGGAGUGCCUGAAGUACGCGACCGCAAGGAGCGUCCUAAGGUAAAACCGGUGACUGGGGCUAAGUCGUAACAAGGUAAC
rnacentral:rRNA from 1 species